CACAGUGGUGAUCUGUAGCUGUGUGAGUGCACGGAACAGCAUGCCAGCAUCAGCUCAGAUAUCAUUAUUUACACCACAUACUCCAGAAAAAGCAGGUCAUCAAGCUUGCCUUUGAAGAGUUUGAGCUGGAGCGAGGCUAUGACACCCUGACGGUUGGUGAUGCUGGGAAGGUGGGAGACACCAGAUCGGUCUUGUACGUGCUCACGGGAUCCAGUGUUCCUGACCUCAUUGUGAGCAUGAGCAACCAGAUGUGGCUACAUCUGCAGUCGGAUGAUAGCAUUGGCUCACCUGGGUUUAAAGCUGUUUACCAAG
rnacentral:lncRNA from 1 species